rnacentral:rRNA from 1 species
CGGGUAGCGGAACACGUACGCAACCUUCCCAAAACUGGUGAAUAGCCUUUCGAAAGAGAGAUUAAUACACCGUAACAUGACGAGUAGGCAUCUACUUGUUAUUAUAGUAGCAAUACGGUUUUGGAUGGGCGUGCGCCUGAUUAGGUAGUUGGCGGGGUAACGGCCCACCAAGCCUGCGAUCAGUAACUGGUGUGAGAGCACGACCAGUCACACGGGCACUGAGACACGGGCCCG